UACGGAGGAUCCAAGCGUUAUCCGGAUUUACUGGGUUUAAAGGGUGCGUAGGCGGAUUGAUAAGUCAGUGGUGAAAGCCCGCAGCUCAACUGCGGAACUGCCAUUGAUACUGCCAGUCUGGAGUUUGGUUGAGGUAGCUGGAAUGUGUCAUGUAGCGGUGAAAUGCUUAGAGAUGACACAGAACACCGAUUGCGAAGGCAGGUUACCAAGCCAAUACUGACGCUGAGGCACGAAAGCGUGGGGAUCAAACAGG
rnacentral:rRNA from 1 species